rnacentral:tRNA from 1 species
GGGGUUGUAGCUUAAGGGUGGAGCGCCUGUCUCCCAUAUAUGAGGCACUGAGUUUGAUCCUCAGCACCGCUU